rnacentral:rRNA from 1 species
AUUGAACGCUGGCGGCGUGCUUAGCACAUGCAAGUCGUGCGGUAACAGGCGUAGCAAUACGUGCUGACGAGCGGCGAACGGGUGCGUAAUACAUGGGAAUCUGCCCUUUAGUGGGGAAUAACCCGGCGAAAGCCGGGCUAAUGCCGCAUAAGAUCUUCGGAUGAAAGCGGGGGAUCGUAAGACCUCGCGCUGAUGGAUGAGCCCAUGUCGGAUUAGCUAGUUGGUGAGGUAACGGCUCACCAAGGCGACGAUCCGUAGCUGGUCUGAGAGGACGGCCAGCCACACUGGGAC